UACGGGGGGGCAAGCGUUGUUCGGCAUUACUGGGCGUAAAGGGCGCGUAGGCUGCCAUGCGUGUCUUCCGUGAAAUCCCUCGGCUUAACUGAGGACGUGCGGAAGAAACUGCAAGGCUCGAGUCCGGGAGAGGGGGGUGGAAUUCCCAGUGUAGCGGUGAAAUGCGUAGAUAUUGGGAGGAACACCGGUGGCGAAGGCGGCCCCCUGGACCGGUACUGACGCUGAGGCGCGAAAGCGUGGGUAGCAAACGGG
rnacentral:rRNA from 1 species